rnacentral:rRNA from 1 species
AUUGAACGCUGGCGGCAAGCCUAACACAUGCAAGUCGAACGAGUGGCGGACGGGUGAGUAAUGUCUGGGAAACUGCCUGAUGGAGGGGGAUAACUACUGGAAACGGUAGCUAAUACCGCAUACCAUCGGAUGUGCCCAGAUGGGAUUAGCUAGUAGGUGGGGUAAAGGCUCACCUAGGCGACGAUCCCUAGCUGGUCUGAGAGGAUGACAAGCCACACUGGAACUGGGACACGGUCCAGACUCCUACGGGAGGCAGCAGUGGGGAAUAUUGCACGAUGGGCGCAAGCCUGAUGCAGCCAUGCCGAGUGUAUGAAGAAGUCCUUCGGGUUGUAAAGUACUUUCAGCGGGGAGGCGUUACCCGCAGAAGAAGCACCGGCUAACUCCGUGCCAGCAGCCGCGGUAAUUC